CCUACGGGUGGCACCAGUGGGGAAUAUUGCACAAUGGGCGCAAGCCUGAUGCAGCCAUGCCGCGUGUAUGAAGAAGGCCUUCGGGUUGUAAAGUACUUUCAGCAGGGGAGGAAGGCGAUAAGGUUAAUAACCUUGUCGAUUGACGUUACCCGCAGAAGAAGCACCGGCUAACUCCGUGCCAGCAGCCGCGGUAAUACGGAGGGUGCAAGCGUUAAUCGGAAUUACUGGGCGUAAAGCGCACGCAGCCGGUCUGUCAAGUCGGAUGUGAAAUCCCCGGGCUCAACCUGGGAACUGCAUUCGAAACUGGCAGGCUAGAGUCCUGUAGAGGGGGGUAGAAUUCCAGGUGUAGCGGUGAAAUGCGUAGAGAUCUGGAGGAAUACCGGUGGCGAAGGCGGCCCCCUGGCCAAAGACUGACGCUCAGGUGCGAAAGCGUGGGGAGCAAACAGGAUUAGAUACCCGGGUAGUC
rnacentral:rRNA from 1 species